CUUCAUAUUUUUAAAUUGCCAGCUGGCAUCAGUAUUACAGCAAAAACUCCAAACCAAAAAAAAAGUUAAAAAUUAAAAAAAAAGUUCCCGUCCUUCGAUUUCAUCAUCCCCUUCCUCCUCUCUCUCGACGACAAGAACCCAACAAAAAAUUCAGUCAUCGCGCGAAGAUCGAAGAAUCAUCUGAAAACAAUUCUCCACUAAUGAAUUAAAAGAGAAAAGCUUGAGUGAACCGAAAAAAAAAAAAGAGAAAAUGGCUUGUAGAGGUUGUUUGGAGUGUUUGUUGAAGUUACUCAACUUCCUUCUGGCUGUUGUUGGACUUGGCAUGAUUGGUUACGGUAUCUACUUGUUUGUUGAGUACAAGAGGGCUACAGAUAACUCCGUUACAUUCGAUGAUCAAAGUUACAUCUCAUUUGGGAGGCCGAUGCUUAUGGCUGUGACACUUUCUUCUAAUGUCUUUGACAAUCUUCCAAAAGCAUGGUUUAUAUACUUGUUCAUUGGUAUUGGCNGA